rnacentral:rRNA from 1 species
GCGAAUGGAUUAAAGAGCUUGCUCUUAUGAAGUUAGCGGCGGACGGGUGAGUAACACGUGGGUAACCUGCCCAUAAGACUGGGAUAACUCCGGGAAACCGGGGCUAAUACCGGAUAACAUUUUGAACCGCAUGGUUCGAAAUUGAAAGGCGGCUUCGGCUGUCACUUAUGGAUGGACCCGCGUCGCAUUAGCUAGUUGGUGAGGUAACGGCUCACCAAGGCAACGAUGCGUAGCCGACCUGAGAGGGUGAUCGGCCACACUGGGACUGAGACACGGCCCAGACUCCUACGGGAGGCAGCAGUAGGGAAUCUUCCGCAAUGGACGAAAGUCUGACGGAGCAACGCCGCGUGAGUGAUGAAGGCUUUCGGGUCGUAAAACUCUGUUGUUAGGGAAGAACAAGUGCUAGUUGAAUAAGCUGGCACCUUGACGGUACCUAACCAGAAAGCC